rnacentral:rRNA from 1 species
UACAGAGGUCCCGAGCGUUAGGCGGAAUCACUGGGCUUAAAGCGUGUGUAGGUGGAUCGUUAAGUACCUUGUGAAAUCCCACGGCUUAACCGUGGAACUGCUUGGUAUACUGGCGGUCUUGAGCCAGCUAGGGGCUACCGGAACAAAUGGUGGAGCGGUGAAAUGCGUAGAUAUCGGGAGGAACACCCGUAGCGAAGGCGGCACUCUGGGCCAGCACUGACGCUCAUGCACGAAAGCGUGGGGAGCAAACAGG